UUUUUGUUUGUUUGUUUUUU
rnacentral:sRNA from 1 species